CAUGCCCCAAACGCUGAGCUCUACCAGUAUGUUUACCCCAUGUGGCUUCAGCCCUCAUCUACAUACUUCAAAAGAAGGUGAACAAGGAGGACUGAUCUUCCAGGAUGGAAACCUUACCUCAGCAUCUCUGGAUGCCCUAAUCCAGCAUCUGAUACCUACCACUGAUUACUACCCUGAAAAAGCCUAUAUCUUUACAUUCCUGCUGAGUUCCAGACUCUUCAUCGAGCCCCAUGAGCUUCUGUCUCGAGUUUGUCACAAGUGCAUUGAGCAGCAGCGGCUGGAUGACCCCGUGCUGGACAAGGCUCGAAUCAGAAAAUUUGGACCCAAAAUCCUACAGUUGUUGACAGAGUGGACCGAGACAUUCCCGUAUGACUUUCAGGAAGAGCGGAUGAUUGGCCAUCUGAAAGACAUGAUUCACAGGAUAGCCCCGUGUGAUGAGGCUUACUGGAAAAAGAUGAAUCAGCUUUUGCAAGCCCUUAAUCAGAAGCUUGCAACCCUCAGCCACGGGCAAGAAGGGAUUGUCAAGAUCAGUACUGCUGUCUCUGAUAAGCUGGUUGCCUUUAAAACUAAACCUCCAUCAAUUCAGAGAGAAAUCCUGAGCGUCUGCAGUGACCCUUACACCCUGGCUCAGCAGCUGACACAUGUGGAGCUGGAAAGACUAAGUCACAUUGGACCUGAGGAGUUUGUGCAGGCAUUUGUACACAAGGACCCUCUGGAUGGCACCAAGACUUGUUUCAGUGAACAGAAGAAGACAAGUAACCUUGAGGCCUAUGUGAAAUGGUUCAAUAGACUCUGCUAUCUCGUAGCAACAGAAAUUUGCAUGCCUGCAAAAAAGAAGCAGCGAGCACAAGUCAUCGAAUUCUUCAUUGACGUUGCCCGAGAGUGCUUUAACAUAGGGAAUUUUAAUUCACUGAUGGCAAUCAUUUCUGGAAUGAAUAUGAGUCCAGUUUCCAGGCUAAAGAAGACUUGGUCAAAAGUGAAAACAGCCAAAUUUUUCAUUCUCGAGCACCAGAUGGACCCUACUGGCAACUUCUACAACUACCGGACAGCGCUGCGGGGGGCUGCCCACAGGUCGCUCACUGCACACAGCAACAGGGAGAAGAUUGUGAUCCCCUUCUUCAGCCUAUUGAUCAAAGACAUUUAUUUUUUGAAUGAGGGAUGUGCUAAUCGCCUUCCAAAUGGACAUGUCAACUUUGAAAAAUUUCUGGAACUGGCUAAGCAAGUAGGAGAAUUUAUAACAUGGAAGCAAGUGGAGUGUCCAUUUGAGCAAGACCCUAACAUCAUCCACUACUUGCACACUGCUCCCAUUUUUACUGAAGAUGGUUUGUAUCUGGCUUCCUAUGAAAGUGAAAGUCCGGAAAACCAGACAGAAAAAGACAGGUGGAAAUCCUUAAGAUCCACUAUUUUAGGAAAGACUUGAAGAUUGAGAGAUUAUUGCAGUAGGUCAAGGAAAAGAAAUCGGCAAACAUUUUGCACUACUGAUUCCAAAGAUGCCUGUUUGGGAUUUAGACAAUUUCUUUUGUUUGAGUUUUUUUGUUGGGUUUUUUUUGUUUUUUUUUUUUGCCUGACAUGAUGGAUGAACUGGAUUCAUCCACUGAAAUCAACAGAACUGUGUGCACAAUGAUGCUUUUCUAACUAUGAGACAGAGAGAGGACAGACAAACAGACUAUUUGUGGCUGCGCCCAAACUGCAUCAGGAUCACUGUAACUUUGCCUCUGAAGGAAAAUGCAAGAAAACCAGGAGCAGGGAGAAUCAUGGUACUGCAACAGAGAAUGGAAAAGUAUAAAAAAGGAAAGCAAAAAUACGCAAGAGUAUUUCAGAAGCAGGUGCUUCAGACAGCAGUUCUUUAAACCUCUGAGGAUUGUAAAAUUAAAUCAAAGACAGACAACAGCAAUCUGGUUAAUUGCUGAAUGAAGAAAAAAACCCUUUAUCUUGCAUUAGCAGUCCCCCGGGCUUGUUGAACGAAGCACUGGCCGCUGCAGGUUUGAGCUUGCAGGGACGAGGACUGACCCCGCUCCCAUCACGUCAGCACGGACCGUGCUGAGCCCCUGGGGUCGGACAGGCAGCCUGGAGCCCGACUCCCGCUCAGUUCAUCCUCCCACCGCUCUGGUUCUUCCCUUACUGUGAAUCUGGGCCCGUCUGAGGGGGGCACAGAGGGUUGGUGGUGCUGCUUAUGACACCCCCACCACCUCUGAGGUUGAAUGAAGAAGCAAAUGACUCUGGACUCAACUUACCUCUAUUUAAUGUAUGUAGUGUAUUCCCUAGAUUUAUUGAUGCCGAGUUGCAUCUUUUAAGGGGUUUUAUCACACUCAAAGAAAAAAGGUACUGCAUUACCAUUUGUAUCAAGUUCCAAUUAACACAGUACUGUUUAUUUUGUAACACAAUGCUUAGGAGAAUGGGGGGGUAAUUGCUCUCAACUUGGGAACUACAUGGUAUGCUUUAAAAGGACAAAGGGUUCCAGACUGGAAUGAACGCAUAAAGAAUUUGUCAUUCAUGAGCAGAUAACCAUUUUUGUCUUUUUUACUUUUAGGAUGUAAAGUUCACCAUUUCCUUACAGAUAACAUGAAACAGGGACUAUGUCUCGUGUUUAAGGUUGUACAAUAUCAAGGUGCUACUGUAAGAGAUACAUUAAAUGAUAAUGAACUAUAUUAGAUUCAAAACUAAGCCCUAACAGUAGACUUACUGUCUGUGUGUUGAAGGAAUGUCCCUAACUGCCCCAGAAAAUAUCUCAAAAAGCUUAAAUGAAACCUAAAUGUCACAUCAUACUGAACUUUUACUGACUUGGUGCUACCUUUUCAGAUGUUCUUACAACAGAAGGAUGUAACCCUUUCAUUGAAAUCAGUAAUAGUUUUAUUUCAGCAGAGGGUGAUUUCAAGUGGCUGUAGUGUUUUCAAAAACUAGGGUAAUCACAAAACCUGGCUGUGUUGGCCUAUUCAGCCAGAAAGCUGGAACUGUUCCUGCCCUCUGCCAGGCCUCUGAGUGCCUGAGUGAGCUGUUGACCUGGAGAGAUUGGCAGGCUGGUGUUUGAGGGCAGCUCUAUGUGGUGCAUUCCAGGUUUGAGGUGUCUAAAUCCACUUGUGCUUGCUGAGCUGAGCAGGAUGGAUUCUUCUGGGUUUGCAAACAGGGCUUGAAGCAGAACUUCAGAUCUCCUUUUCCUGUAGGUCUAUCAGCAUAUGAAUUCAGACAGGGGGACAUAAAACUAUAAUGUGUUUAUUCAAGCUUUGUGUGGAAGAAUUAAGUGUAAGGAUGGUACAGCAUCAUUGCAGCCACAGAAUGAUGACUAUUCUGCUGAUACUGUGAAUCUGCUGUUUGUUAAUUUUUGUACAUGAGCUGAGAGCUAUACAGAGAAACUAUACACAUAUAGCUGUUCCUUCAGGCAGAACAAUUUCCAAAAUGAAGCCAUUAAAAGCCUGUUAAAUUUCAGAUGAAUCCAGAGCAAUAACCAUAAACAUAUCUACAACAAUGCUAAUGUUUAAGUGUGUUUGCUAAAUGGUCAUUCUUGUUAUUAUCUGCAUAUUUUUAACAGGCACAGUGUGACUUCACAGUGGAAAUAUGGGGCGUUUGCUUAUCUGAAACCCAGUGCAAGUAGAUGGGCCCUUUCUUAAAACCUGCUUUUUAUAAUGGAAAUCCUCACUCCUUUUCUAGUGAGCCACUAGAGGUUGGUACAGAUGAGAUUAUAAGACAGCGACAAUUAAUUAGAAUGUGAUUUUUCAUUAUACUUCCUUAUAUUUUGGAGCACCUUCCAUGAAUUUGGGCAAUUUUGGAAGUACAAGUUCAAUUAGAUCUCCUAAAGUUUAUCACUGUUGCAAACUAAACCAAUUUUGUAGCCCAAAACUUUCAAACCUCAGUGCUUAAAUGGAAGCAUAAAGGUCAGAUUUAGGUGGGUAUUAAGGGCUUAGUGGAACUAUCAGAAGCACUAAAUUAUUCUUUAGCCUUUAUAUAGCCGCACAUUUAAAAGGUCUUUUUUCAGAAGUGCUAAACAUCCUCAUCUCUUGGGGAGUAGCACUUUAUAGAGGUGCGUGGCACGUGAAUCUGUAGUAUUUGAUCUUCAGAGACACUCACUGCUCUUUGCAAAAUGACUUGGAGAUAAGAGU